UUCUUCAUUAGGAAAACACUCGCCAAUAGAAGACACUGUGAUUCAAGUGUUCUGGUCCAAAGAUGUCAAAAUAAUUUAUGAAAUGUUUAAAUUUUAUGGUUGGGAAAUUUCUGGAUUAUUCGAAAAACGGGACAUCUAUGUAGAGCUGAAACAGGGAUUCAAAGAGGGAGUUAUUCGGAGUCGAUGGAUGAAGUGGAAAGAAGGGGUUAUGUUUAUUUUUCUCUCUA